rnacentral:rRNA from 1 species
GAUGAACGCUGGCGGCGUGCCUAAUACAUGCAAGUCGAGCGAACAGACGAGGAGCUUGCUCCUCUGACGUUAGCGGCGGACGGGUGAGUAACACGUGGAUAACCUACCUAUAAGACUGGGAUAACUUCGGGAAACCGGAGCUAAUACCGGAUAAUAUAUUGAACCGCAUGGUUCAAUAGUGAAAGACGGUUUUGCUGUCACUUAUAGAUGGAUCCGCGCCGCAUUAGCUAGUUGGUAAGGUAACGGCUUACCAAGGCGACGAUGCGUAGCCGACCUGAGAGGGUGAUCGGCCACACUGGAACUGAGACAAGGUCCAGACUCCUAAGGGAGGCAGCAGUAGGGAAUCUUCCGCAAUGGGCGAAAGCCUGAAGGAGCAACGCCGCGUGAGUGAUGAAGGUCUUCGGAUCGUAAAACUCUGUUAUUAGGGAAGAACAAAUGUGUAAGUAACUAUGCAAGUCUUGACGGUACCUAAUCAGAAAGCCACGGCUAACUACGUG